AUUGAACGCUGGCGGCAGGCUUAACACAUGCAAGUCGAGCGGAGCGAGGGUGCUUGCACCUUAGCUUAGCGGCGGACGGGUGAGUAAUGCUUAGGAAUCUGCCUAUUAGUGGGGGACAACAUUCCGAAAGGAAUGCUAAUACCGCAUACGCCCUACGGGGGAAAGCAGGGGAUCUUCGGACCUUGCGCUAAUAGAUGAGCCUAAGUCGGAUUAGCUAGUUGGUGGGGUAAAGGCCUACCAAGGCGACGAUCUGUAGCGGGUCUGAGAGGAUUAUCCGCCACACUGGGACUGAGACACGGCCCAGACUCCUACGGGAGGCAGCAGUGGGGAAUAUUGGACAAUGGGCGGAAGCCUGAUCCAGCCAUGCCGCGUGUGUGAAGAAGGCCUUUUGGUUGUAAAGCACUUUAAGCGAGGAGGAGGCUACUUAGAUUAAUACUCUAGGAUAGUGGACGUUACUCGCAGAAUAAGCACCGGCUAACUCUGUGCCAGCAGCCGCGGUAA
rnacentral:rRNA from 1 species